UGCAAGUCGAGCGCAGGAAGCAAGCGGAUCCCCUUCGGGGGUGAAACUUGUGGAAUGAGCGGCGGACGGGUGAGUAACACGUGGGCAACCUACCUGUAAGAUCGGAAUAACCCCGGGAAACCGGGGCUAAUGCCGGGUAACACCUUCCUUCACCUGAAGGGAGGUUAAAAGAUGGCUUCUCGCUAUCACUUACAGAUGGGCCCGCGGCGCAUUAGCUAGUUGGUGAGGUAACGGCUCACCAAGGCGACGAUGCGUAGCCGACCUGAGAGGGUGAUCGGCCACACUGGGACUGAGACACGGCCCAGACUCCUACGGGAGGCAGCAGUAGGGAAUCUUCCGCAAUGGACGAAAGUCUGACGGAGCAACGCCGCGUGAACGAUGAAGGUCUUCGGAUCGUAAAGUUCUGUUGUUAGGGAAGAACAAGUACCGUGCGAAUAGAGCGGUACCUUGACGGUACCUAACGAGGAAGCCCCGGCUAACUACGUGCCAGCAGCCGCGGUAAUACGUAGGGGGCAAGCGUUGUCCGGAAUUAUUGGGCGUAAAGCGCGCGCAGGCGGUUCCUUAAGUCUGAUGUGAAAGCCCACGGCUCAACCGUGGAGGGUCAUUGGAAACUGGGGAACUUGAGGACAGAAGAGGAGAGUGGAAUUCCACGUGUAGCGGUGAAAUGCGUAGAUAUGUGGAGGAACACCAGUGGCGAAGGCGACUCUCUGGUCUGUCUCUGACGCUGAGGUGCGAAAGCGUGGGUAGCAAACAGGAUUAGAUACCCUGGUAGUCCACGCCGUAAACGAUGAGUGCUAGGUGUUAGGGGGCUUCCACCCCUUAGUGCUGAAGUUAACGCAUUAAGCACUCCGCCUGGGGAGUACGGCCGCAAGGCUGAAACUCAAAGGAAUUGACGGGGGCCCGCACAACCGGUGGAGCAUGUGGUUUAAUUCGAAGCAACGCGAAGAACCUUACCAGGUCUUGACAUCCUUGGACCACCCUAGAGAUAGGGUUUUCCCUUCGGGGACCAAGUGACAGGUGGUGCAUGUUGUCGUCACUCGUGUCGUGAGAUGU
rnacentral:rRNA from 1 species